AGGCAAAGGCAGGCAGGCAAGGAAGGCCUUUUAUCAAGAAGUUGAGGCUGGUCCAGUGUGGAACAGAGAUAUCGCAGGUGUGACCGAAUGAAGCAUCAUGAGAUGGAGAGAUUAUCCUGGAUCACUCGUGGGCCCACUUUGAAAGGAAGGCAGAAGGGCAAAUCAAGGAGCAGGUGAUGUAUCAGAAGGACAGAUUAGAGUGAGGAGUUUUGAAGAUGGAGGAAAGGGCCAUCAAUCAAGGAGUACAGGGGGCCACUGAGAGCUCAGAAAGCAAGGCAUCAGAAGGCCCCAGCCCUGCCAAAAGCUUAACUUGAGCCCAGGGGAGCUAAUUUUUUGCCUCUGCCCUGAACUAUAAGAAAACAAGUGGUGCUGUGUUAAGCCACUCAGUUUGUGAUGGUUUGUUACAGCAGCCACAGGAAACUCAUAAUUCAGUCAUUGAUAAAUAAAACUCUCCAUGCUGUUUUCUCA